CUCGGGUUCAAGGAGACGAGGUUGCUCGUGGGUUGCUGAUCGCACAGGGUGAGUCAUUGCACUUGGAGCUUGGAAAUACCAUUCGCGUUACCGACAAAGUUGCAAGUCUGACCCCAGACCGGAGCUUGGGAAUAGGUGGUCUCUGCUGCCCGCUCUCCCUGCCUUAGGCUUCCCAAGUAUGGCACGUGGUCCGCCAGGGAGGUCCCGGAGCCGAGCCAUACUGCCAAAAAUAACUCACUCCAGAGCUACAUAUGGUUUCUUGGACUAAAGUUUGACCAAAGAUUUUGGUACCGGAAGCUUUCUGGAUCUGGAUGCGGGCCCAGGCGCACCCCGUCAGCAAGAAAACACAUCAAGAAAAUACCUUAAACACACGGGUUUAAACUGUUAACCGAGUGUAAACGGUACAUUCGUAGAGUCUCCUCUCAACUUCAACAACUGUCUCGAGUUGCUCCCAAGACCAUGGACAAUAACGGAGCACGAAACAGGCAGCCUUAGCCCGGAUAUCCCGUAUCUGUUAUCUGGAUAUUCUACCCAGUAAACCCAGAGACACUGACCGUCGGCCCCGUGAGGCAUCUAAGUCACGGAACAAUAGCAGAUGGGCUCCCAGGUUGACCAAUGAUGUGCUCUGUUAAAGCUGACAUGACGGUGAACAUGGAUACUUGGACGUUUUGCCAUUUACAAUUCCCUACGCCACCAAAUAUCUCUUUCCUCUCAAGGCUGCAUGCGAUGGUAUUUGACUCAGAAGAAAUUGUUCUCAAGAGCAUCCUGGCUGAUUGGUGGUUGGAGCAAACGCCGCACUGAGACAGCGUCCCUGAACUGGUUCGUUUGGUAGAAUGGCGCAUGUCACUCAAAUAUUUGAGUUUUCGGGAGCAUCAGGAGGCAUGGACACUGGCUUCAUGGAGUCAGCAUUGAGGAGGUGCAGGAAAGAUGAAGCUGUUUCACUGUCAUACACUGACCCGGGUGGCCAGCCGUUAAUAAAAAUCAUCUUUCAACUACA